UAGCCAUAGCGAACAAGUAGAGUGACGAAAGAUGAAAAGCACUUUGAAAAGAGAGUUAACAGCACGUGAAAUUGUUGAAAGGGAAGCGCUUGCGACCAGACUCGCCCGCGGGGUUCAGCCGGCACUCGUGCCGGUGUACUUCCCCGCGGGCGGGCCAGCGUCGGUUUGGGCGGCCGGUCAAAGGCCUCUGGAAGGUAACGCCUCUCGGGGCGUCUUAUAGCCAGGGGUGCCAUGCGGCCUGCCCGGACCGAGGAACGCGCUUCGGCUCGGACGCUGGCAUAAUGGUCGUAAGCGACCCGUCUUGAAACACGGACCAAGAGUUA
rnacentral:rRNA from 1 species